AACGAACGCUGGCGGCAGGCUUAACACAUGCAAGUCGAACGCCCCGCAAGGGGAGUGGCAGACGGGUGAGUAACGCGUGGGAACGUGCCCUUCGCUUCGGAAUAGCCCCGGGAAACUGGGAGUAAUACCGAAUACGCCGUAUUGGGAAAGAUUUAUCGGCGAAGGAUCGGCCCGCGUUAGAUUAGCUAGUUGGCGGUGUAAUGGACCACCACGGCUACGAUCUAUAGCCGGUCUGAGAGGAUGAUCAGCCACACUGGGACUGAGACACGGCCCAGACUCCUACGGGAGGCAGCAGUGGGGAAUCUUGGACAAUGGGCGCAAGCCUGAUCCAGCCAUGCCGCGUGAGUGAAGAAGGCCUUAGGGUUGUAAAACUCUUUCGCCGGAGAAGAUAGUGACGGUAUCCGGAGAAGAAGCCCCGGCUAACUUCGUGCCAGCCGCCGCCGUAA
rnacentral:rRNA from 1 species